GUUGGGUUGUGACAGGAAGGAGGGGGGAAGAGGCUGGAACAAAAAAAAAAAGUUAGAGAGAACAGAGGUAAAUCGCGAGUGAGUGGAGUGCAGACAGAGGGGUAGAUCAGGAGUGAUUGGAGUGCAGUGAGGAAGGGGUACAGCAGGAGUGAGUGGAGUGCAGUGAAAGGAAUAGGUAUAGCAGGAUUUAGUGGGGUGCAGUGAGAUGAAGGUAUAGCAGAGGUGAGUGCAGUGAAAGGAAGGGUAGAUAAGGAUUAGUGGACUGCAGGGAGCGGAAGGGGUAUAGCAGGGGUGAGUGGAGUGCAGUGAGAGGAAGGGGUAUAGUAGGGGUGAGUGGAGGGCAGUAAAAGGAAGGGGUAUAGCAGGGGUGAGUGUAGUGUAGUGAGAGGAAGGGGUAUAGCAGGGGUGAGUGGAGUGCAGUGAGAGGAAGGGGUAUAGCAGGGGUGAGUGCAGUGUAGUGAGAGGAAGGUAUAUAGCAGGGGUGAGUGGCGUGUAGUGAGAGGAAGGGAUAUAGCAGGGGUGAGUGUAGUGUAGUGAGAGGAAGGGGUAUACCAGGGGUGAGUGGAGUGUAGUGAGAGGAAGGUAUAUAGCAGGGGUGAGUGGAGUGCAGUGAGAGGAAGGUAUAUAUAGCAGGUGGAGGAGUGCAGUGAGAGGAAGGGGUAUAGCAGGGGUGAGUGGAGUGUAGUGAGAGGAAGGUAUAUAGCAGGGGUGAGUGGAGUGUAGUGAGAGGAAGGUAUAUAGCAGGGGUGAGUGGAGUGCAGUAAGAGGAAGGUAUAUAUAGCAGGGGUGAGUGGAGUGCAGUGAGAGGAAGGGGUAUAGCAGGGGUGAGUGGAGUGCAGUGAGAGGAAGGGGAAUAGUAGGGGUGAGUGGAGUGCAGUGAGAAGAAGGGGUAUAGCAGGGGUGAGUGGAGUGCAGUGAGAGGAAGGUGUAUAGCAGGGGUGAGUGGAGUGCAGUGAGAGGAAGGG